UCGAUUCUUUUGCUCCAGAGAUCGGAUAUCGCGCCAAUGGACUUUCACUCGUCGCUGUAACCGCGAAGAGGGAUGGUCGUUAAAGACGAAUUAAGAUGGCGUUAGGAGUUAUCGCGAAGGAUUUCCGACGUAUUUGCCGCAAUCGAGGAAAGUGAGCAAGAAAUUUAGUAACGCGAUAGAUUCGAUUUGCUGUCGUAGACGCCAGUGCUGCCUCCUUAAAUUGCGGACAAUAUUUUAAAAUGUAAUUAUAACUUAGAUCGACAUAACCUUUCCCUAGCUGUGCCGAUAAAAUUUCGCGGGAACAAAGCCGGGACAUAUUGUAUUUUAUAGUAGCAUUUUAUGCCUCGUACGAGCUCCGAGGAAAUGUUACAAACGCGUUGGCGAUGUUAACGAGCUGCGAAUAGAACACACUACGCGAUAACUUAAUUUCUUCGUAGUUUAACAACAAUCAAGUGAAUUAACCGAUUAUUUGUAAGAUUGUAUUUCGUAUAUUGCUUCAUAUUUUGUAGUUUCGUACUGUUGACGACGACGAGGUCUCACGUGUUACCAUACGAAGAAAAACGACAGAGUAUCGAAUAGAAAAUUGAACUGAACACGAGUAAGCUGUAGAAUGUAUACGAAGGUAAUACAAUCGUUCGUUCGAUCGUGUACAUGAUGAUAAGUGGGGGAUUUUAAUUUAGCAGGUGUGGAACAGUUUUGGAAAAUUUAUUUGAUAUCUGGACACGGAUUGUCUAUCGAUUUCGAGCAAUGAUCGAAGUAAAAAAAAAUUGUAAAAAUUUGUAGAAGAAUCGUUUCGAAUUUGUACGAUAUAUAAUAUUUAUUUUAAACUUCGAUGUACAUUGAGAAUCUUCGCAUAACGUGAUAUGAACACAA